AUGCUCAUUUUGGCAGCACAUAUACUAAAACUGGAACCAUACAAAGAAGAUUAGCACAGCUCUUGUGCAAGGAUGACACUCAAAUUCUUGAAGCUUCCCCAAAAAUA